CCUACGGGGGGCAGCAGUGAGGAAUAUUGGUCAAUGGACGAGAGUCUGAACCAGCCAAGUAGCGUGAAGGAUGACUGCCCUAUGGGUUGUAAACUUCUUUUAUAUGGGAAUAAAAUGUUCCACGUGUGGGAUUUUGUAUGUACCAUAUGAAUAAGGAUCGGCUAACUCCGUGCCAGCAGCCGCGGUAAUACGGAGGAUCCGAGCGUUAUCCGGAUUUAUUGGGUUUAAAGGGAGCGUAGGUGGAUUGUUAAGUCAGUUGUGAAAGUUUGCGGCUCAACCGUAAAAUUGCAGUUGAAACUGGCAGUCUUGAGUACAGUAGAGGUGGGCGGAAUUCGUGGUUUAGCGGUGAAAUGCUUAGAUAUCACGAAGAACUCCGAUUGCGAAGGCAGUUCACUGGACUGCAACUGACACUGAGGCUCGAAAGUGUGGGUAUCAAACAGGAUUAGAUACCCUUGUAGUC
rnacentral:rRNA from 1 species